rnacentral:misc_RNA from 1 species
UUUGGGCCGAAGUACCCGGGUAUUCAUAACCCGCUUGAUGGAACUACACGUAUCCUGCAAGGUCCUAGCGGAACUUUCAAAUAUUACAUCAAGAUUGUUCCCACUGAGUACCGAUACCUUUCGAAAGACGUACUUCCAACAAAUCAAUUCUCUGUCACUGAGUAUUUUGUUCCCCUACGUGAGACUGAUAGGUCUUGGCCAGCCGUUUACUUCUUAUACGAUCUCUCACCCAUCACCAUGACAAUCAAAGAAGAACGCCGUAGUUUCCUGCAUUUCAUUACUCGUCUUUG